AGAGUUUGAUCCUGGCUCAGGACGAACGCUGGCGGCGUGCCUAACACAUGCAAGUCGAACGGAACUGUUUUGAAAGAUUUCUUCGGAAUGAAUUUGAUUUAGUUUAGUGGCGGACGGGUGAGUAACGCGUGAGUAACCUGCCUUCAAGAGGGGGAUAACAUUCUGAAAAGAAUGCUAAUACCGCAUGACAUAUCGGGAUCACAUGGUUCUGAUAUCAAAGAUUUUAUCGCUUGAAGAUGGACUCGCGUCCGAUUAGUUAGUUGGUGAGGUAACGGCUCACCAAGACCGCGAUCGGUAGCCGGACUGAGAGGUUGAACGGCCACAUUGGGACUGAGACACGGCCCAGACUCCUACGGGAGGCAGCAGUGGGGGAUAUUGCGCAAUGGGGGCAACCCUGACGCAGCAACGCCGCGUGAAGGAUGAAGGUUUUCGGAUUGUAAACUUCUUUUAUUAAGGACGAAAAAUGACGGUACUUAAUGAAUAAGCUCCGGCUAACUACGUGCCAGCAGCCGCGGUAAUACGUAGGGAGCAAGCGUUGUCCGGAUUUACUGGGUGUAAAGGGUGCGUAGGCGGCUUUGCAAGUCAGAUGUGAAAUCUAUGGGCUCAACCCAUAAACUGCAUUUGAAACUGUAGAGCUUGAGUGAAGUAGAGGCAGGCGGAAUUCCCCGUGUAGCGGUGAAAUGCGUAGAGAUGGGGAGGAACACCAGUGGCGAAGGCGGCCUGCUGGGCUUUAACUGACGCUGAGGCACGAAAGCGUGGGUAGCAAACAGGAUUAGAUACCCUGGUAGUCCACGCUGUAAACGAU
rnacentral:rRNA from 1 species